CCCAGGGCUACAGACGUCAAGGGCAGGGCAUACCCACGCAAUGCUUCACUGGUUCCAGGGCACCCCCUCUUAAAGGCUCAGUGUGUACUCCUACCCCAGGGUCCAGCCUUGACUGUGCAGGGCCCCGAUCAGGGUCAGCUUAUCUCUUCUGCAUCAAGAGGGGUCAACUGCAAGUCUGGGAUGGUGGCUGAGCUGAUCUUGGGACCCCAGGCCCUUCUAGAACGAAGUCUCAGCGUGGGAGCCAGGAGCAGACAGGGUCUCGACCUCAGAGAGCUUCCAGCCUGAUGGAGAGAGCCGGAAGAGUCAGGCUGGCUCUGUGGCUGCCCGUGGUCUUGGGGCAGGAGGGCUCCAACUAUGGGCCUGGAAAAAGGAGGGGCAGAGGCUUGAGGGACUGGUAGAGACUGGGGAGAGAAGAAAGAGGCAGGGUGUUCUAGGCAGGAAGAUCAGUAUGGGCAAAGUGGGAAGGCUGGACUGAGUAACGUACAUAUGUGUGCACGAGUCUGUGUAUACUAGCGAGAGCAUGCCCUAGGGGCCUUGGAGAAUAUAAAAUCCAACUUUUCAUUUUAUUGGUGAGGAAGCUGAGGCUAGAGAAGGGAAGGGACAUGUCUCUGGUCAGAGUGAGGUCCUGACUGACUCCAGCUCCAGUCCAGGUUCUGCCUCCAAUUCCUGGGUUCUAAAGACGGAGGUGUCAAGCUGAGCUGCCAAGUCCCUCCUUCUCCGGCUUUUUGCUGGUCCCACAGUGGUCUUGGUGAUGCAGAGCAGGGGCUUAACAGUGAUGUCUGCCUUCUGGCCAAUGGGAGGGUCUGGGGCUGGGCACUCUAUCCCUGUCCAGGAGUCCCAAACAAACCCGGAGUGGCUGCUUACACCUCGGCCUUAUCCACAAGGCAUGUCCCAAGCCCAGACUCUGGACACCCAGAGAAGAACCCAGCACUGAACACCAGGCCGAAUGGGCUCCAACACCCACGCUAGAGAAAGCCCCAACCACCUGACCCAGAGAGAACUUACAACUGGGCUCUGAACACAGAGAAAAGGUCCCAGCACCUGACCCAGACGCAUCUACACAGGCUGAGUUUCCAUUACAAACUCAGUACUGGAUCACUACAACGCCAUCCAGAAACUCCCGUAAAGAACCGAACAUCCAAAUGCGAGCACCCAGAGAGGGUCCCAGCACCCAAACCCUGAACACUAAGAGGAGAUCCCAACACCCGAACCGGGUCCAUUUGGAUCUGCUUCCAACCCAGACCCAGAACAUCCCGAUUAGAUGCCUACAAUUGACUCAGAUCUGGAGCCCACACCGGGAAUGGACUCACCCAGUCCUCCCUCCUCCCCAUCCAGCCUCGGUGAGGCUCAUCCUGAGAGGUCUUCCAAGUUCGAAGACUUUUUCUGCCGAUAUGUGUGACCAUCGAUCGGGAUGACUGCGACUGGGGAAGGGAGCAGGAGGCCAGGCCUGUUCCCUUUGGGGGAAAGGGGAGGGGAUCCAGUUUGCAGGGCUAGGGUGGGAGCGGGCAGGCGGGGUGUGCGCCCCGGCCGCUUCCAGUCGGCGCGGGAGCUGGGACGGAAGCUGUGCGCCCUCGGAGCCCCUGCAGUCCCCUCACCGGGCGCUCCCAAACAGCCCGCGGGGCGCUGGGCGCGGGGCCAGGAAAUCCGGCGCCGGCCCUUGAAGCGCACCCGGGCCGGGAGGGGGCGGCGGGGGCGGCGGGGGCGGGCUGGGCGCUGGCACCACGACCGCCCGCUGAGCAACGUGACUGCGCGGGCUCGGGUCCCCACCAGGACAAGGCGGCCUCUGUGCCGACCCAGCUGAUUCCUCUCGGGCUGCAAAUCCCUUCCGGCUGACAGCCCUGCCGGCUGGGGCCAGGCAAGGGAACGGGAAGCGGGGUUGGGGGCGAGGUGGGCGCUGAGGAUUGGAGCCCAUUGGCGGGAGGCCCCCAGGAAGGCCGUCUGCUCCGUACAUCCAGGGUAGCAAAGGCUACCGUUCCCGGACAGAGAAGCCGAGGCUAGGAGAGGUCCAAUUACUAGCCCAAGUCGCACAACUUGUUUCUUGGUUAAAGCCAGAGUUCUAAAUGACGCCCCAUGAUAAACUCUGUAUUUGUUGUUGAGAGUUAGGUGGCGUUAUUAGUCUCAGUUUAUAAAUGAAGGAAUGUGAGGCUCAGAGUUGAAGCCGCCAGCCCAACGUCCUAAGACAAGAAGGGAGUGAGGCUGGGACUGGAGCCCAGGACUGCCUGCUCCAAAACAUGGGGGCCAGGCAGUCCCAGCAGACCCCUGACCCCAGGUAAUCACUGACAACAAGCCGGAGGCUCUGCCAUGGGCCCGUCCCAGGGUCCCCCUGCUCAUGGCCUUCUGUCUGGUUGGUUCAGUGUGGUGGACCCGAGGAAUGAGUUCCGUUAAUCUCCUGGAGGACAGAUGUGGGGCUGAAGGAGGGAGAUGGGGUGAGGGUGGAGGCGCCAGGUGGCUGGAGAGGGGACUGGAGGGCAAUGCAUCUGGGAAAUGACUUUCCAGAGGUCCCUCUGCCCUCCCCCUGCAGCUGGGGACGGAGCUGGAACCCCAGAGGCCAUGAGGGUGGGCUGGGGAACCAUCCAGGAUCCAGCCUCACCCUGGCCUCCCAGGAACAGGAUGGGGAUUGUCCCGUGAAUUCUAUGGAAUUAAAAAAUGGCACCUUCUCAGCGGGAAGGGAGCUCGGCUGGUUCCCGGGACUGUCUGGCUUCUGUCCUGACUCCUACAACUGCGGCGGCUUGGGACUUUUUCCAUUCCUUGACCAAGAUUUGACCUAGACAGGGAGUGUGGGGGCUCAGGGGAGGAGGGAGGAUGGCAGGCGCAUGGGGGCGACUGCUGAGUGGACACGUGACCUCCCGCUAUGCAUGUGCCUGUGUGUCUGCACAGAAUGAAUAUCUCUGUGAUGUUCUUAUGCACAUGUGCCUCUGAGAACGGAUCGUGGUGGCUCUGGCGGGGUGGGCGUAUUGUAUCUGUGGGUGCUGUUUGUGCCUGGGCACCUUGACCCUGCCAGGAUCUGCGUUAUCUCUCCGAGUCUGUGUGUUUGUGGCUGAACCUGUAUCUAUGAGUCUUUGUGUGUGUCUGGGUUUCCGCCCCCAACAGAGCCUGAAUGCCAUUUUGCUGCCUGAAUGUGCAGAGGAAUGUAGGGGGCCAAGGGAGAGGGGAGCACAUGUCCUGGGCUGUGGGCCUGCUGGUUAUGGAAAACUACUGAGGCCUCCUGGAGCUGGGCAGGCCAGGCCCGGCCCAGAGCCAGGCUCUGCAGCUUUUGCCCUUCCAGGCUCCUCCCACCCCUUCUCUGCAGGGCUGGGGACCUGCUGAGAUGGGUUCUUGGUGGAGCAGAGAGCAUGGCCUCCCUCCCACCACUCCCCAGAUGGUUUGCCAGGCCUGGGGGAAAAGUAAGAGGGCGAGAUUAGUUUCCUCUGAAGUCCUCCCAGCCCCAACAUUCUCUCCAUUCUGUGAAUGUUAAAGGGAUUUUAAAAAGGCAACUUCACCUCUAUUUUGGGGGAUGGUGAAAGCAGUAGGGUCUCAGACUGUUAGAGCAAGAAGGCUCCUAAAGAUUAUCUAGUCCCACCCCCUCCGUCUUACAGAUGAGGGCACAGGCCCAGAGUGAGGGAUCUGGAUCCCCCAAUCACCUUCUGGAAGGGCAAGGACCAUGUUAUCAGGUCCGCUGUCUCCCCAUCACCACAGGCCUCUCCUCCAUCAUGCUGCAUGACCUACCCUGGGUAGAGGAAGAGGAAUUUGAGAAGGCCUUGGAGGGAGCAUUUUGACAUAUGGAGGUGGGGUUGAGACUCUGGGUGGCAAGAAGACAUGGGUUAAGGUGUGGAAGUGGGCAGCUGAGGAGUGCGGUCAGAAUGGAGAGUGGGACAAUUGGACACACUGGGUCCUAGGACUGAAAUGGCGUGUCUGAGCUAUACAUGAGGGUCCCCGCAGACCAGGUGGAAGCAUGUGGACUUUAUCCUGUAGGUGAUUCUGGUAAGAGGUAAAAUUGCCAUGUAGCUGAGUGGUUUAGGGCACAUGAUCUGCAGUCGAAUCAGAUUAUCUUGUAUUCCAAUCCCAGCUCUAAGACUUUGGUAACUGUAUAACCACACAUCCCUGAGCAGAUUAAACGCUCCAUACCUCACUUUUCUCAUCAUUGGAAUGGAGGUAAUAGGCCAUGCAUGGUGGCUUGCAUCUAUAAUCCCAGCACUUUGGGAGGCCGAGACAGGACAAUAGCUUGAGUCCAGGAGUUUGAGACCAGCCUGGACAAUGUAGUGAGGCCUUGUCUCUAUUAAGAAAAAAAAAAAAAGAAAUGGAGAUAAUGAUAGUAUUUCCCUUCCAUGUUUGUCUUGAGGAAUAAAGGAGAAUACAGGCAAAGCCCUCAAUGCCUGACACUGGUCAGUGCUCAGUAAUAGCUGUGAUGCUCCUGGUGGUGAGGCCUGUAUUUAAGGCUAGCCCAGAGGGACAGAGAGAGGACAGGGACACCAGUGGGGAGUCCACGAGAAUCAUGUGGAUGAGAUGCCACGCUGAGGUCCAUGACGCUGUCCCCUGGGUUAACUGGCUGGAGUCCUCAGCAGGGCUGCAGGAAGGUGGGCAGAACCCCCUCCACUGAGUGGCCUUGAGUUUGUUCCUGGGUGACCAGCACCUGAAAAACCAUUUUCAGAGGAGGAUUGGUGGGAUGGGGAGGAGACUGGGGAGAGAUGGGGCUCAGCUUCUGACAGCCUGAGGGUAGUGGGGUGGGGCCCGGGAGAGAUUUGGGAAGCUCAGGUCACUCAUUGCUCGUGGUGCUGGAAGUUGCUGGUUUGGGUGAGGUCAUGCACCAGCCUAAGAGAGAGGAAAGGUGCCCUGCAACCCAGGGAACCCCUUUUGAGCCAGACCCUUGGGAGAAGCAGCAGCCACAGGGGCUAAGGAAACCAAGACGCGCAUGAAAUUUGGUGCCGUGACUCGGAUCGGGGGACCUCCCUUAGGAGAUCAAUCCCCUGUCCUCCUGUUCUUUGCUCUGUGAGAAAGAUCCACCUACAACCU
rnacentral:lncRNA from 1 species